CCUACGGGUGGCAGCAGUGGGGAAUAUUGGACAAUGGGCGAAAGCCUGAUCCAGCCAUGCCGCGUGUGUGAAGAAGGCCUUCGGGUUGUAAAGCACUUUCAGUGGGGAAGAAAGCCUUGGGGCUAAUACCCUCGAGGAAGGACAUCACCCACAGAAGAAGCACCGGCUAACUCCGUGCCAGCAGCCGCGGUAAUACGGAGGGUGCGAGCGUUAAUCGGAAUUACUGGGCGUAAAGCGCGCGUAGGCGGUCUGAUAAGCCGGUUGUGAAAGCCCCGGGCUCAACCUGGGAACGGCAUCCGGAACUGUCAGGCUAGAGGGCAGGAGAGGAAGGUAGAAUUCCCGGUGUAGCGGUGAAAUGCGUAGAGAUCGGGAGGAAUACCAGUGGCGAAGGCGGCCUUCUGGACUGACACUGACGCUGGGGUGCGAAAGCGUGGGUAGCAAACAGGAUUAGAUACCCGGGUAUC
rnacentral:rRNA from 1 species